rnacentral:ribozyme from 1 species
UUUUUUUUUUUUUUUUUCAAAUUUAUUUCAUUUUAUAAAAUUUUUUAAAUUGCAGGAGCAGUGGCAGGCUGUUCUAUGGACUGAGGACUGCACGCAAAUUAUAACAUUAAACAGUGGAGACGAGACGUCCGAGUAAAUGAAUAGGAUGGCAUCAUUACAUAUGGCAGCAUUAUUAUGUUGUGAAAAGGUAGAUAC